rnacentral:rRNA from 1 species
CAAGUCGAGCGAUGAAGCACCUUCGGGUGUGAAUUAGCGGCGAACGGGUGAGGGACACGUGAGAAAUCUGCCUUCAACACUGGGAUAACUCCGGGAAACCGGGGCUAAUACCGGAUAUGAAACCUGCGGGCAUCCGCGGGUUUGGAAAGUUUUUCGGUUGAAGAUGAUCUCGCGGCCUAUCAGCUUGUUGGUGAGGUAAUGGCUCACCAAGGCGACGACGGGUAGCCGGCCUGAGAGGGCGACCGGCCACACUGGGACUGAGACACGGCCCAGACUCCUACGGGAGGCAGCAGUGGGGAAUAUUGGGCAAUGGAGGAAACUCUGACCCAGCGACGCCGCGUGCGGGAUGAAGGCCUUCGGGUUGUAAACCGCUUUCAGCAGGGAAGAAGCGAAAGUGACGGUACCUGCAGAAGAAGCACCGGCUAACUAUGUGCCAGCAGCCGCGGUAAUACAUAGGGUGCAAGCGUUGUCCGGAAUUAUUGGGCGUAAAGAGCUCGUAGGUGGUUCGUCACGUCGGAUGUGAAACUCUGGGGCUUAACCCCAGACCUGCAUUCGAUACGGGCGAGCUUGAGUAUGGUAGGGGAGUCUGGAAUUCCUGGUGUAGCGGUGGAAUGCGCAGAUAUCAGGAGGAACACCAAUGGCGAAGGCAGGACUCUGGGCCAUUACUGACACUGAGGAGCGAAAGCGUGGGGAGCGAACAGGAUUAGAUACCCUGGUAGUCCACGCCGUAAACGGUGGGCACUAGUUGUGGGGACCUUCCACGGUCUCUGCGACGCAGCUAACGCAUUAAGUGCCCCGCCUGGGGAGUACGAUCGCAAGAUUAAAACUCAAAGGAAUUGACGG